UACGAAGGGGGCUAGCGGUGUUCGGAAUCACUGGGCGUAAAGCGCACGCAGGCGGAUCGAUAAGUCGGGGGUGAAAGCCCGGGGCUCAACCCCGGAAUUGCCUUCGAUACUGUCGGUCUCGAGUCCGGGAGAGGUGAGUGGAAUUCCUAGUGUAGAGGUGAAAUUCGUAGAUAUUAGGAAGAACACCAGUGGCGAAGGCGGCUCACUGGCCCGGUACUGACGCUCAGGUGCGAAAGCGUGGGGAGCAAACCGG
rnacentral:rRNA from 1 species